rfam:Gloeophyllum trabeum ATCC 11539 unplaced genomic scaffold GLOTRscaffold_00013, whole genome shotgun sequence.
GGUGCGGUGGCCGAGUGGUUAAGGCGACAGAUUAGAAUCAACUGACAAUCUGUUCCGCUCUGCGGGCAUAGGUUCGAAUCCUAUCCGCACCG